rnacentral:rRNA from 1 species
UACGAAGGGGGCGAGCGUUGUUCGGAAUCACUGGGCGUAAAGCGCACGUAGGCGGAUCUUUAAGUCAGGGGUGAAAUCCCGAGGCUCAACCUCGGAACUGCCUCUGAUACUGGGGAUCUCGAGUCCGGGAGAGGUGAGUGGAACUGCGAGUGUAGAGGUGAAAUUCGUAGAUAUUCGCAAGAACACCAGUGGCGAAGGCGGCUCACUGGCCCGAUACUGACGCUGAGGCACGAAAGCGUGGGGAGCAAACAGG